GGCUCGAGGACGACGCUGGCGGCGUGCUUAACACAUGCAAGUCGAACGGAAAGGCUCCAGCUUGCUGGAGUACUCGAGUGGCGAACGGGUGAGUAACACGUGGGUAAUCUGCCCUGCACUCUGGGAUAAGCCUGGGAAACUGGGUCUAAUACUGGAUAUGACCUUUCUCCUUAUGGGGUUUGGUGGAAAGUUUUUCGGUGUAGGAUGAGCCCGCGGCCUAUCAGCUUGUUGGUGGGGUGAUGGCCUACCAAGGCGACGACGGGUAGCCGGCCUGAGAGGGUGAUCGGCCACACUGGGACUGAGAUACGGCCCAG
rnacentral:rRNA from 1 species